rnacentral:rRNA from 1 species
CAGCCGCGGUAAUACGUAGGGGGCUAGCGUUAUCCGGAUUUACUGGGCGUAAAGGGUGCGUAGGCGGUCUUUCAAGUCAGGAGUGAAAGGCUACGGCGCAACCGUAGUAAGCUCUUGAAACUGGGAGGCUUGAGUGCAGGAGAGGAGAGUGGAAUUCCUAGUGUAGCGGUGAAAUGCGUAGAUAUUAGGAGGAACACCAGUUGCGAAGGCGGCUCUCUGGACUGU